rnacentral:rRNA from 1 species
GGCGGACGGGUGAGUAACACGUGAGAAUUUACCUUUAGGAGGGGGAUAACAAUUGGAAACGAUUGCUAAUACCCCAUAUGCUUUUGAGUGAAAUGGAUUUAUAUUUAUCCGCCUAGAGAGAAGCUCGCGGCUGAUUAGCUUGUUGGUAAGGUAAGAGCUUACCAAGGCGACGAUCAGUAUCUGGUUUGAGGGGACGAUCAGACACACUGGAACUGAGACACGGUCCAG